CUUUUUUGGCAAGCUUCUGUAACCACAUGAUAUUCACUUUUAUUUUAAAUUUUGGAUAUGGUGAAGCUAAUUAGAAGAUUGUAUAAGAGGGGGACCUGGCUUUAUUUCAAACAAAGCUGAUUUCAGUCGCUCCUGCUUGUUUUCCUAUUGAUUUCAUUAUCCAGUUGUAUUUGCUUUCCACGCCAACAUGCUCACGAGGAUGUGGAUGUGUAUUCCUGGCUGGUCCAACCAGCAUGACUUGUGGUGAAAUGGGCUAAAGGCCUCCCGAUCCAAAAUCACCAUCGUAUUUUGUGGGUUCUUCUGGCCAAGUGACUCUGUGGUCACAUUGGAUGUCCCUUUUGUACCCUUCAGGUCUGUGGUGUUUGGCUGCAAUACGUUUUUAGAAAUGGGGAAAGCGAUGAAGAUGACAGGAAUGGGAACUGGCCAGACAGCAGCUGCCCUUCCGUCCUCCAUCUCCCGGAGGCUGAUCUUUCUGUCUCUCCCUGCAGUUUACAGCUGCCUUCGCCUCACCUGUUACCACCCCAGCAGCCGCACCUUCCUUCACGUGGGAUUGGCGUUGUAGGCGAUCUGCUGAGACGUCCCCUCGCUAAGAGGAGGCGCAGCGUUGGGGAAACCUCCAGGGUGGAAUACGGUGAAUAUGCAAAGAAUCUGUUCCAUGAUGGCUCCCUAAGCAGCAUGCCCUGCAGCCUUGGAUGCUGGCAGCAGCAGGGGAGCGCUUGGAGCGUCUUGAGGCACUCCAAGGUCCUGGAGUACAUCGUUGAGCAUCCAGCUCUGCAGUCAGGGCCCGGGGCAGGCCUGCCGGGCACUUGGGAGAGCUUCUGGCUGUGGGUUCUGCAGGUUUGCUGCUGCCUGGCUUUCAAAUAAGCCCUCUGGGUGAAGGUAAUGGCAGUCUCCCAUCAGGAUCUCGCUUCUGUACAGCUGCAAUCUUCCUGAGCAGUUUUUCUCCAUCUCUUUGCAGUGCACUGUGCUGUAUAGAUGGAUGCUUGACCUCACCUGGCAUAGCCUGUGCCAUUCCAGUGUGAUUCCUUGGGCAUAUGGCUGUGUCCCAUAGCAGGGUGUUGCACUGCAGCCACUGCAGGUUCCUGGCCAGCUCCCUGGCAAUGCAAUACAGUGAACUCCCUGCCUGUGUCCCCACAUGGAGCACGCCCAAGUGUCCCUGCUGGAUGAGGAGCAGCGGUGAGAGCCCCGUGGUGUGCAAGCAAACGCAAUGUCCUUUUGGCCAUCAGGAUAUUGUGGAGAUGUAGGCCUUAGGGGUACGCAGGUGAAGACAUGAGUGAAAUGGGUGAGUGAUGUUUUCUUGUCUCCUCUUCAGCACAAGUGUGAGGCCAGAGGCUGGCAGCUUGCACAAAGCUGGGCUCUGUGCAGGAGUUGGCAGAGGUGCUCGGGGGCAAUGUCCUGUGGGACUGGAGUCUCUGUUGCCAUGGCAACUGGAUGCAGUCUUUAAUUAUAGAUGUGGUUCUGCCCUGUAUCCCCUCCAUCCUUUCCCCUGUAACAAAGCAACAAAUGGAAUGAGCUUCCUUUUGUGUGUGACCUGUUAAGAGUCCCAAAAGCCAGUAAUGGUGCCAGCUUUGCCACAGCAUAAACCCCCAGCAAGUGCAGUGUGAGAGGUC
ensembl:lncRNA